AAAAGAAUAAAAUACUUUGCGACAUGCUGUUGUUGGUGGAAAAUAAUCUUUUGUUGGGUAGGAACAGUAACUCUACUUUCUCACAUCAACCCUGUCGUUGAUUAUUUCCCCGUAACAGCACAUCCCGAAGUGUCUCAUUCCUUACACAGACUAUGUUUUUCUGUGCUUUCAUGUGCAUCUAUGUGCAAUCAGUAGCUGCUAAACGCUAACCGCAGAGCUCUAACAAAAAAGAUGAAGCAACUGGUGAAGUCAAUAUUUCAUGAGAUUCAUUACACGAAAUGCUGUGUAAAUGUGCUAAUUGCUUGUUGCAUCAUUAUAAAUUCACUUUAAUAACCGAGUGAUUUUGUCUCCAUUAGUGAAGUGCAUUAUUUAGACUGCUUCAAGAAGAGCCAAAAAUCUUGGCCUCUCUUCAAAACAUGCGGCAAAGUAAUCGUUGUGCAAAUAGUGCCAUCAGGGUGAUCUGUUCCGCGCAAUGCCAGUCAGCAGCUAGUUGUGCAUGGCGAAGAUUGAGUAGGACCAUCAACAGUCAGUCAGGCUGCCUGAGUCACUUCACUCCUCCGAGGAGUAGCAUCUCUCCGGAGUUCAGCUUCAUGGGAAGUGACAGGUUCCUUAAGAAUUUCAUUGCAUCCUGGAAGAAGCUGGCUUGGCAUGCAGUGUGGAAUAACGGAAGAGGUGCAGGUUAUUAGGAUGUAUGGAAAACAGGCAGUGUGGUGGAGUUUACAGUAUGUAGUGGGAAAACACCAAAUGUUUGGCAUGGUUGUGCACUUGCCAGGGGAAAGCCAAAAACGUAAACAUCUAUUUCUUGAAGGUGUAAAAACUCAACGUUACAGCUAUACCUCUGACUUUUACAAGCACUGACACUGGAGACUCCUCCUUAUAUAAAACUGCACUAUCAGUACAAUUGCAGACAUUUUUAAUCCGUUUAUGUAGAGUAUUCACCUGUGAACGAGUCGUUACUAUAGAAAUGAUAACAUAUUAGAGUGUACACAUUAAUAUAAACCUGCGAUUUGACAAUAUGAAGGGUAUAAUCUUUCAAAAAAAAUGUCUCUGGUUUAAUCAUAUGUUCACAAUACACUGGAUGGCAACAUUUUCCAUUUUGUUUUAACUCAUCUCAAGCUGCCAGAUGUUCUGAUUUGUGACGUGGCUCCAUUCUCACAUGAAAAAAAGGAAAGCAAGAACAAAGUAAAAAAUAAAAAUAAAAAAUAAAAAAUAAAAAUUAAAAAGUCUGAACCCACUGUCUUAGAGCUCCCCAUUUGAAUAAUCCUUGACUCUUCGAGAAGGCCGUGCUUUUUCUUUUUGGUUGGCAUCAUUUCACGCCUUAAUAGACUGCUUUGAGAAUAAAUGAGGAGAUUAUACGACACGAUCCAGUCUGGCAAACACAGUCCUGAGAAGCUGAGGUGUCGCUCCAUUAAUUGAAAUAGGGCUGUUUUACGUCCUGGGCUCUGCCAAAUGGUAUUUGUGCUGAAUGGCUGGUGCCAGCCGCUGCAUGCAGAGUUGCAGGUUCUUAUCGGGAAAACGAUGCCACUGCUGCUGAUCCCUAAAUGAGAUUUCAUCCGUGGCUUCAUGGAUUAGACGAGUGAAGAGAUUCAGUUGUCACACAUUAUCUCUGCAGUGUGUAAACAGAGAUGAAGCAGAAGCUACGUGACAGUAGACUCACAUGCCUCCACUUUUCAGUAUGAAAAAGAACAAAAACAAACAGAAGCAUGUGGCAGCAUCCAUGAUCCGGUUCAUGGAUUGAAGGUUCUAGCUUUAAUACAGAUAAAUGUCGGGCUCGAUUUGAGGUCAAAGGCAAGGGGGUGGCUUCUAUUUAUACACCGUAUCUGAAUGGACAUAUUGGGAGAUUUUCAUGUAGAGUGUUAGUAGAAAUUGUCCAAAAAUGAUAUUUCAGGCAUCCCAUUCAUCUAUCCGGUUUCAAUGCUGCUUAUCUUACACAGGGUCGUGUGAAGCAUGGAGCAUAACCCAGGGAACUCAGGACACAAGGCAGGGGACACACUGGACAUGGUGUACACAUAUAAUUAUAUAUAUUAUAUGUGUACAUUAUAACUGCUAAAACUAGCACACAUACUUCAGACUAUACUUGUUCAUGCUCGACGUAAAGUAAACAUUCUUAUUUGACCAAAAUGAAUGUCAGAAUAAUCCAUCCAUCUAUCCAUCCAUCCAUCUAUCCUCUAUACCGCUUAUCCUCUUCAGGGUCCCGGGGAACCGGGAGCCUAUCCCAGGGAGCAUCGGGAACAAGGCGGGGUACACCCUGGACAGGGUGCCAAUCCAUGUCAGAAUAAUAUCAUGUUUAAUGAGCAUUCUUCUGCACAAACAUUUAUCCCGGAUUAUGUAAGCGUUCUGUAUAUCACAACAAAACAAGAUGUCUUGUACAUAAGAAGAAAAAAAAAACAAACACUCAGGUGGCCUAGUUGCCACCUUGUUAUCAUUAGUAUAUGACAAAUCCUGAAUAAAUAUCCUGUCAUGGUAGCUCAUGGUAGGCUAAUGCUAGUCUGGACUCCUCAUGAGAGUAGGACCGUUUGCUUUUUGAGCUUAACAUUAUUGCGAAACACAACAAACGAUCCACUUUUAAAAUCACAGCCAUGUCCUUGACUCAUUGACAAAGAAAGUGAAUUUGCAAUUCUUCCACAACAAUUCACUCACGAUAAUCCUUUUUUUCCAUCACGUGCUGAAAAGCUACCGCAUGUAAUCCACUGAUUUAUAUGUUAGCUACACUGCACCAUGUUUGCUGUAGACUAUAAACUGUUGUUGUCUAUAUAACACAUAAAUAUUUAAUCUACUGAAUAAAACCUGGACGUCUAACGUAAACCGUACUGUCUUAAAGUGUACACUUAAGUCUAUAUUUAAGCUAAUUUAUUUUUAGCUCGUUGUUUUAUUUCUAUUUCAGAUGUAAUGGCUAUAAUAUGUGAAGGGAUAUUUCAGACAUGUGACCAUUCUUAAGAAAAAAAGUGUCACACCUGUAAUACAAGAUUUUAUUUUUCUCCCAGUUAUGUUUACAUCAACACACAUAUCUUAAUCUUAAUCUUAUUCAAAGGUUGAAUUUCACUCUGUCCAUGCAAUGUCACUUUCAUAAAGCUGAUAAGUAAGGAAUAGAGUACAAACAUUUGGGGACAUGUUUUUACAGGGAAAUCAUCAUGGUUCGGUGGUGUGAGAAGUUACUGCUACUUCCUGGAAGUUAAUUAUUGUCUUAUAAUUUUUAUUUACUUAUUUUUUAUACAUUUUACACUAAAGAAAUUGGCCAACGGUUUUUAUUUAUUUACUUUCUCUGCUUUCACAACAUGUGCUUUUGUUUACAUUGCCAUGUGUCUUUCUUUCUGUUUUGGUUAAGUCUCUAGUUUGUUGCCCUAGUGUGUUCACCUGUUCUGUGUUUAGUCUUUAAUUAGCUUGCAUAUAUUUAUACUCCGUGUGAGUGUGUAUGUGAUUGUGCCCUGCGAUGGACUGGCACCCUGUCCAGGGUGUACCCUGCCUUGUGCCCGAUGCUCCCUGGGAUAGGCUCCAGGUUCCCUGUGACCCUUAAAAGGAGUAAGCAGUAGAAGAUGGAUGGAUGGAUGGAUGGAUGGAUAUUUAUACUCAGUUGUGUCAUAGUUACUUUCAUAAGUAUUGUAAUGCAUUUAUUGUUAUUUUAAUUCCAAGCCAUGUUUUUGAGUUUUGUACUUCCCGAUCUUGACCUUUGUCUGUUUUUUUUAUUUAUUGUAGAUUAUCCUUGUUUAAUUUUGCCUACAGACAUUGGUAAUGAUUAUGAUUCUUGGAGUGUCUUAAAUAAAGCACACACUGAGUUAAUGCAUUUGUGUCCUGUCUAUCAGUGCACACUACAUAGAGACACCUUAAAAUUUUAACCACAAAGUUACACCUUUACCUCUGAAUUCUGUACAGUGCUGACAUUGGAGACUCCUUCCACAAAUGCUAAAUACACAUUUCUUCACAGAGCCAAUUGUAAGGUUCUGCAUCAAAAAAUAGGCUUGAUUCUGUAAUGGAAAUCACUGCAUGGGCUCAGAACCACCUCCAGAACUCACUUUCUGUGAACACAGUUCACCAUGACAUCCACAAAUGCUGGUUAAAGCUCUAUCAUGCAAGGAAGAAGCCAUAUGUGAACAUGAUCCAGAAAAGCCAUCGUCUUCCCCGGGCCAAAGCUCAUUUAAAAUGGACUGAGACUGAGUGGAAAACUGUUGUGUGGUCAGAAGAAUCACAAUUUUAAAUUCUUAUUGGAAACUAUGGACUCCGUGUCCUCUAAACUAAAGCGGACUAAAGAGGGGAGGGACCAUCCGGCUUUUUUCAUCAGCGCUCAGUUCAUAAGCCUGCGUCUCUGAUGGUUCGGGGUGCAUUAGUGCUUAUGGAAUGGAAAGCUUGCACAUCUGGAAAGGCACCAUCAAUGCUGAAAGGUAUAUACAUGUUUUAGAGCAACAUCUGCUUCCAUCCAGAUUCCAUCCCAUCUUUACUUCUGAGAGACUCUGUCUCUCUAAGAUACUCUUUUUAUACCCAAUCAUCUUACUGACCUGCUGCUACUUCACCUAAUUAGUUACAAAAUGUUCCUCCAGCUGUUUCUUUUCAGUAACCCUUACUUUUCCAGCCUUUUUUUUGUCCCUGUCCCAACUUUUUUUGAGACGUGUUGCGGCCAUCAGAUUCAAAAUCACCUUAUCUGUUUCUUUAAAUGGUACAUUUACUCACUUUAAACAUUUGUCCUAUUGUGAAUAACAUAUGGAUUGAUGCGAUUUGCAAAUCACUGCAUUCGGUUUUUAUUGACAUUUGCUUACAUUUUACACAGCGUCCCAACUUUUUUUGGAAUCGGGGUUGUAUUAGAACAAGCAUAAACCUGUGAUUUGCAGUUGACUACCGUCAGAGCUGCUGUUGCUGGAGAUUAUUAAUCACCAUCUGACCGAUCGGAAAUCAAGAAGUCGACAGCGCUGGGGUGUAAUGUUAAAUAUUUGUGAAACUGUCUUCCUCAUGCUAGGCUUGUUCAGGCAAUUAGACACUCCGAUACCAGUUUAAAUGUCACACGUGUAAUGCUGGGAUUGCCGAGAUGUGUUAAAUACAUAAAACCCCAGCUUCAGCAAAUACCUGGCAAUCCAGUUUAGCGUUUAAACUGUGCGAAGUAUUGAGGGAUAAAAAAUGGAUGGAGGUGAGCAAGGACGAGAGAGAGAGAGAGAGAGACAUUUGUGACACUGAAGGUGUUGUGAAGGUGAGAUGCUGCAGGUAUACAGUGAGAAUGGCAGGUGAUAAAUACCCCUGCCACAACACACCUCUCAUUCACACUCACAUAUCCAGAGGAAACCAUUCACAUCACGUUGUCACCAGUCUGCACGUCAUUCAGGCCACUUGUCUGCCCUCCUUCUCCUUCUCUUACAUUACCUUUUCACCUUUAAUUACAGGCACCAGCCCUCCUGCUGCUAUCCUUGUCAAUUAACCUUCCAAAAAAACACACACCCUGUUACCUAAAACAUAUAUAUAUAUAAAUAUUCUCCUAACAUUUUUUAAGCCCAUUUACCAAUGUCCUGGAGCUAUUGUUUUCUUCCUCGCUUUAUUUAUUUAUUUUCUUACAACACACACAGGAAGUGCCGCUGAACAAGACAUCCAUCACCUUGACAGAGAAAACAAAUUACACGCCGAACAGAACUUUAAUGCAUCACCCCAGCUAAUGGUGUCGAGCCUGGCUCUGGCAGGCGAAGCCCGACUCUCAGGUGUCACUAUUGUACCCGCUAAUGCCUGUCUAUCCACGCUGAGUGCAAAUAACUGACCUGCGGUAACAUCCUGAAGUAAUAUCAUCAAACAUGUGCUUCCUCAUGACUCCUAAACACAUCAUGGUUCUGCAAUGUUAACACAAUAAGUGAAUCGGUUCAUUUGCGGCUCACACCAUCACACCAUCCAUGCUGAUUCAUUUAUCAGGGGAAAAACUAUGAAGCUGGAAAGGUCAGAGCUACAGCAAGAAGUCCAGGCUUAGUAAUAAGGUUCCUCAAGGGGUCUUUGGGGGGGGUUGUUGCUUUAUAAAGGAGAUCUAAGUGCAACUUUUUUCUGUAGGGUUUAAGGCGUUAUUAGGAUACUAGAUUCAACCCAAUUUUGUACUUUGGUGAUUUUCCAGAUCGUCCUUGCAGAGGUGCCAAUAUUGUUAACAAGAAAAUUCUACCAAGCAUAGAUUUAAAAAAAAAAAACAAAAAAAAACAAACAACAACAGAAUUUUACAAUAUAUUAGCAUAUGAAAGUGGAUGACAUGGCUAUUUUUUUUUUUCAGAUGUGUAAGAAAACAGCGAGUCAAAAGUCCAAUGUGAUGCUACUUAAUAAUUAGCAGCUUCUCCACUUUUUUUACCAAGCAAAGAGAGAAUUGGCUCAGGCUUGUGAGUUUACAUCUCACCCACAAUAAGUCGUCGUAAAGAAAAAAAAUAAGUAGCUGCAACGAGAAGCAAAAGCACCUUUCACGUUUGCUUUUCUGCCAAUUAUACGGUAUUUGUGAUAGAUCUUACCGCUGCUUUAUCUGAAAAAGCAGAAAAGUGUACGUUUCAGGUGUCUCCAGUAUCACCGCAAUAGUAAAUUCUACAGCUACAUGUUGGCAUCUCCGUCCAUGCAUGGAAUGGAUCACCAGAAGCAUUCUCUAAAUAUGCCCAAGCUGCAAACAUUAUACUAUUUCCAUUAUAACUUAGAUGUGUUGCUAGAAUAAAAACUCUUAAGGGAAUAAAAUAAUAAAUUAUAAUCCUCAAGGUGUAGUUCCACCUCAUGUCCAGUGUAGGGUUACAGUGUAUACCGGUAACUACCGUGGUAGAAUUGAUAGAAGCGAGCUAGCGUUAUGCUAACCGCUGUGUGUAAAUACUAAAAUUAGCCUAAGCGAUAUAAUGUUAUGCUAACCGCUGUGUGUAAAUACUAAAAUUAGCCUAAGCGAUCUAAUGUUAUGCUAACCGCUGUGUGUAAAUACUAAAAUUAGCCUAAGCGAUCUAAUGUUAUGCUAACCGCUGUGUGUAAAUACUAAAAUUAGCCUAAGCGAUAUAAUGUUAUGCUAACCGCUGUGUGUACAUACUAAAAUUAGCCUAAGCGGUAUAAUGUUAUGCUAACCGCUGUGUGUAAAUACUAAAAUUAGCCUAAGCGAUCUAAUGUUAUGAUAACCGCUGUGUGUAAAUACUAAAAUUAGCCUAAGCGAUAUAAUGUUAUGCUAACCGCUGUGUGUACAUAAUAAAAUUAGCCUAAGCGAUCUAAUGUUAUGCUAACCGCUGUGUGUAAAUACUAAAAUUAGCCUAAGCGAUCUAAUGUUAUGCUAACCGCUGUGUGUAAAUACUAAAAUUAGCCUAAGCGAUCUAAUGUUAUGCUAACCGCUGUGUGUAAAUACUAAAAUUAACAGAAGUGAGCUAACGUUAUGCUAACCGCUGUGUGUAAAUACUAAAAUUAGUUUAUUAAUUUUGCUAAUAAGCGAGCUAACUUUCCCAAUUUUAUGAUUUUUUUGAAGUUUGUUUCCCAGUUCAGUUAUUUAUUCCUAAUGUUGUAUUCAUUCUUAGCACUCUGCGGACAAUUCCCAUUUGCAUGUUGUCCUUGCUCGAGGGAACAACAGAUUUGAAUGAUUGUUCUUGAGUUUUUCCAGCAGCCAGUUGUUCAUCCUCAUUAAUAGCGUAUUCAGAGGAAAAUUCGGUUUGUCUGUUUUCAUUUACAUCUGUGUAAAACUCCGAUUCCAAAAAAGAUGGGACGCUGUGUAAAAUGUCAAUAAAAACAGAAUGCAAUGAUUUGCAAAUUCUCAUAAACCCACCUGUUAUUCACAAUAGAACAUAGAAAACAUAUCAAAUGUUUAAACUGGGUAAAUGUACCAUUUUAAGAAAAAGAAUAAAGUAAUUUUGAAUUCGAUGGCCGCAAAUCGUUUCAGAAAAGUUGGGACGGGGGCAAUAAAUGCUGGGAAAGUAAGUGUUCGUAAAAAGAAACGGCUGGAGGUUAAUUGCCAACAGGUCAGUAACAUGAUUGGGUAUGAAAAGAAU
ensembl:lncRNA